AAUGGCUGCAGUAAUUUGACUGUACAAAGGUAGCAUAAUCAUUAGUUUUUUAAUUAAAAGCUUGUAUGAAAGGUUGGACGAAAUAAAAUCUGUCUCUUUUUAAUAUAAUUAGAAUUUAAUUUUUAAGUUAAAAAGCUUAAAUAAAUUUAAAAGACGAGAAGACCCUAUAGAGUUUAAUAAUUUUUUUUUUUUAAUUAAUUUAGAUUUAUUUAUUUUAUUUUAAAAAAAUUAUUUUAUUGGGGUAAUAGAAAGAUUAAAAUAAUUCUUUUUUAAAAAAAUCAUUAAUUUAUGAAAAUUUAUGAUCCAUUGAAUUUUGAUUAUAAGAUUAAAUUACCUUAGGGAUAACAGCGUAAUUUUUUUUAAGAGUUCAUAUCGAUAAAAAAGUUUGCGACCUCGAUGUUGGAUUAAAGAUUAAUUUAGGUGUAGAAGUUUAAAUUUUUGGUCUGUUCGACCAUUAAAUCUUUACAUGAUCUGAGUUCAAACCGGUGUAAGCCAGGUUGGUUUCUAUCUUUAAAAAAAUUUAAUAUUUUAGUACGAAAGGACCAGAUAUUAUAUAUAUUAAUAUUUAAGUUAUUGAAUAUU
rnacentral:rRNA from 1 species